rnacentral:rRNA from 1 species
UAUCUUGGUCAUUUAGAGGAAGUAAAAGUCGUAACAAGGUUUCCGUAGGUGAACCUGCGGAAGGAUCAUUAAUACAUGUUGAGCGCACUUUAAUGUGACUCUUUGUAUAACUAUUACCACCCCACCCAGAGGUGCAUUGUGGCCUUUUACGAGGUUAGCAGUGUAUCAGUACGUAACUUUGAGUUACAUUACCCAUCAUUUACCCCCAUUUACACUUAAUAAGUUUUAAGAAUGAUACCUAUAAUUAUAUAACUUUCAGCAAUGGAUCUCUAGGCUCUCACAUCGAUGAAGAACACAGUAAAACCUGUUUGAGUGUCACGAAACCCCCCUCGGCUCUUUCAUUAGAGACGGAUUCUGAGUGUUGGCGUGCAAACGCCUCGCUUUAAAUAGAUCAGCACUUUUGGAUGGUUGAAUAUUAGUUCAAAAGACGUACUUGAUGUUGUAUUUAUAUGUCAUUGAGGCAGUCUUUGGUCGUUACGACUAUCCGCUAAUACGAAAACUUGAAGAAUAGCUUCCUAACUUAGAAUUAACCUUUAGACUUCAAAUCAGGUGGGACUACCCGCUGAACUUAAGCAUAUCAAUAAGCGGAGGAAAAGAAAAUAACUAUGAUUCCCUUAGUAACGGCGAGUGAACAGGGAAAAGCCCAAAUUUGUAAUCUGGCACUUUUUACAAGUGUCCGAGUUGUAAUUUGUAGAACUGUUAUCCGUGCUGGACCAUGUACAGUUCUGUUGAA